UACGUAGGGGGCAAGCGUUGUCCGGAAUCAUUGGGCGUAAAGCGCGCGUAGGCGGCCCGGUAAGUCCGUUGUAAAAGUCAAAGGCUCAACCUUUGAAAGCCGAUGGAUACUGCCGGGCUAGAAUCCGGAAGAGGCGAGUGGAAUUCCUGGUGUAGCGGUGGAAUGCGCAGAUAUCAGGAGGAACACCAAUAGCGAAGGCAGCGCGCUGGGACGGUAUUGACGCUAAGGCGCGAAAGCGUGGGGAGCAAACAGG
rnacentral:rRNA from 1 species